AUUGAACGCUGGCGGCAGGCCUAACACAUGCAACUCUAGUGGCGGACGGGUGAGUAACACGUGAGAAUUUGCCUUUAGAGGGGGAUAACAAUUGGAAACGAAUGCUAAUACCCCAUAUGCUUUUGAGUGAAACGGAUUUAUCCGCCUAGAGAGAAGCUCGCGGCUGAUUAGCUUGUUGGUAAGGUAAGAGCUUACCAAGGCGACGAUCAGUAUCUGGUUUGAGAGGACGAUCAGACACACUGGAACUGAGACACGGUCCAGACUCCUACGGGAGGCAGCAGUGGGGAAUUUUCCGCAAUGGGCGAAAGCCUGACGGAGCAAUACCGCGUGAGGGAAGACUGCCUAUGGGUUGUAAACCUCUUUUUUCAGGGAGGAAUAAAUGACGUGUACCUGAAGAAUAAGCAUCGGCUAACUCCGUG
rnacentral:rRNA from 1 species